rnacentral:rRNA from 1 species
UUUCCUAGCCGCAUUCUGACGCUGAGAGGCGAAAGCUAGGGGAGCAAACAGGAUUAGAGACCCUGGUAGUCCUAGCUGUAAACGAUGGACGCUAGGUGUGGGCCGGAAAGGUCCGUGCCGUAGUUAACGCGAUAAGCAUCCCGCCUGGGGAGUACGGCCGCAAGGCUAAAACUCAAACGAAUUGACGGGGACCCGCACAAGCAACGGAGCGUGUGGUUUAAUUCGAUGCUACACGCAGAACCUUACCUGGGCUUGACAUGUAGGUGGUAGUGAAGUGAAAGCGGAGCGACCCUUCGGGGAGCCUACACAGGUGCUGCAUGGCUGUCGUCAGCUCGUGCCGUGAGGUGUCGGGUUAAGUCCCGUAACGAGCGCAACCCUUGUCCUUAGUUACAAGUGUCUAAGGAGACUGCCGGUGACAAACCGGAGGAAGGUGGGGAUGACGUCAAGUCAGCAUGGCCCUUAUGUCCAGGGCGACACACACGCUACAAUGGUCGGUACAAUGGGCAGCGCAGCCGCGAGGUGAAGCGAAUCCCAACAAAGCCGAUCCCAGUUCGGAUUGCAGGUUGCAACCCGCCUGCAUGAAGCCGGAGUUGCUAGUAACCGCGCGUCAGCCAUAGUGCGGUGAUACGUUCCCGGGUCUUGUACACACCGCCCGUCACGUCAUGGGAGUUGGUAACGCCUGAGGCCGGUAGUCUGACC